AUGAGGGGCGGCGGCGGCGGGAUGAUGGACGACGGCGGGGUUGAGCACGCGCAGAUCCCGAACAGCUUCGGCCACGAGCUCCGCGCAUGCCUCCGCUGCCGCCUCGUCAAGACCUACGACCAGUUCAGGGAGAAUGGCUGCGAGAAUUGCCCCUUCCUGGACAUGGACAAAGAUCGCGACAACGUGGUCAGCUGCACCACCGCCAACUUCACUGGCCCAGUGCUUCCUCUUUCUGAAUUUAUUGCACAAAUUUUGGCUUGCAGAAUAAUAUCGCUGAUGGAUCCCAAUAGGAGUUGGGCUGCUCGUUGGUUGAGAAUUGGGAGGUUCAUUCCAGGGUGCUAUACUCUGGCUGUCUCAGAGGAACUUCCAGAGGAGUAUCAGGGGAUGUGCCAAGACAACAACGUGCAGUAUUUCCCUCCGAAGCGCCCCUGA
rnacentral:rRNA from 1 species